GAUGAAGAACGCAGCGAAAUGCGAUAAGUAGUGUGAAUUGCAGAAUUCAGUGAAUCAUCGAAUCUUUGAACGCACAUUGCGCCCCUUGGUAUUCCAUGGGGCAUGCCUGUUCGAGCGUCAUUUGUACCUUCAAGAUCUGCUUGGUGUUGGGUGUUUGUCUCGCCUCUGCGUGUAGACUCGCCUUAAAACAAUUGGCAGCCGGCGUAUUGAUUUCGGAGCGCAGUACAUCUCGCGCUUUGCACUCAUAACGACGACGUCCAAAAGUACAUUUUUACACUCUUGACCUCGGAUCAGGUAGGGAUACCCGCUGAACUUAAGCAUAUCAAUAAGCGGAGGA
rnacentral:misc_RNA from 1 species